GGGAAUAUGGCUUAGUGGUAGAGCUCUUGCCUAGCAUGCAUGGAGCCCUGGGUUCAAUUCCUCAGUAUCA
rnacentral:tRNA from 1 species